GCUGUGGUAAGUAUGGUCAAGUGGGUGUCAUAGUGUUUUCCUUGUGUCAGCAAUUUGUUGUCUAAUCUUAUUUCUGCCCAACAGAGUGAGGAAGCAGCUAUUGCUGCUUUGAAGAGAUCAUUGGGUGCCCUCAACACACACCUUGCAUCAAACACAUACCUUGUUGGCCAUUCGGUGACUCUUGCUGAUAUUGUGAUGACCUGUAACCUCUACAUGGGCUUUGCUCGGAUCAUGACCAAGAGUUUUACUUCUGAGUUCCCUCAUGUUGAGAGGUACUUCUGGACCAUGGUUAAUCAGCCAAACUUUAAGAAAGUCUUGGGUGAUGUGAAGCAGGCAGAGUCUGUCCCACCAGUUCAAAAGAAGGCUCCACCACCAAAGGAGCAGAAGCCAAAGGAAGCCAAGAAAGAGGCUCCAAAACCUAAGGCAGUUGAGAAACCAGAGGAGGAAGAGGAGGCACCAAAGCCAAAGCCAAAGAACCCUCUUGAUUUGCUCCCUCCAAGCAAGAUGAUCCUUGAUGAGUGGAAGAGGUUAUACUCAAACACAAAAACAAAUUUCCGUGAGGUUGCUAUCAAGGGUAAGUUUCUUUUGGGAAUCUAGUAGUCACUAAAAGGUUUCCACGUAGAAAAGUAUAGUUUCUUUCGGGAAUCUAGUAGUCACUAAAAAGGUUUCCACAGAGAAAAGUUUACUACAUUGCUGUGAGUACACUAGAAAGAUAUGAGUACAAAUUGGCUUACAAAUUAUAACAGCUACUAAAGAGUCAAUGCAAAUUUGUUUGUUGACCUGUCAACUGUUAGCAAGUUAUAUCUCUUUGAUUACCAUUAUUUGUCAUCUGCUCCCAACUUCUGUUGUGUAUGAAGUUCUGUGAAUUGAACUCAACAUGUCUUCUCACUUAUUGCAGGUUUCUGGGAUAUGUAUGACCCAGAAGGUUACUCCCUGUGGUUUUGUGACUACAAAUACAAUGACGAGAACACUGUGUCCUUCGUGACCAUGAACAAGGUUGGUGGGUUCCUGCAGCGAAUGGACCUGUGCCGCAAAUAUGCUUUCGGGAAGAUGCUUGUGAUCGGCUCUGAGCCGCCAUUCAAGGUGAAGGGUCUUUGGCUCUUCCGUGGCCCCGAGAUCCCCAAGUUCGUCAUGGAUGAAGUCUAUGACAUGGAGCUCUAUGAGUGGACCAAGGUUGACAUCUCAGAUGAGGCCCAGAAGGAGCGCGUCAGCGCCAUGAUUGAGGACCUGGAGCCAUUUGAGGGCGAGUCGUUGCUGGAUGCGAAAUGCUUCAAGUGAGGCGUCGUUGGAGCAAGGAUACCGUGGAAAAUGAGCUAUUUAGGUUUUGGAUUUACCCUUCUACAAUAGUUCAUGAUUAUGAAAAAAAAAAUACUAUCACCAUGUGGCUAUAUUAGUCAAUAUUGAGUGUGCUGGUCUUUUCUUUUUGUACUGUUUGCUAGAGUUUUGGCCCUUUUUAACCUUGUAGUUAAGUUGUUAAGACACUUAUCCAUCGAAUCAUCGUCAGAAACACACCAUUCGAAUCUGCUGUUGCUCAUGUGUUAAACUUGCCAUUCUGAUAAUGUUUUGGAAAUAGGCAACAAAACGAGUUAUGGUGCUGGGUUAUUUUAUGUAUUUUAUUCUGUUGUUCAUGUUUGUUGUGUUUCUUUUUUUUUUCUUUUGCUUUCAGCGCUGGGCACGCAGACGAAGGCCAUGUUCGUUUCUAUUGAGAUUUUCUUGAUUAUCUGGUUUGGUGAUGGCUAUUUGAGGGUAUAUAAAUGAAUGAAUGAACGAAUUACUAUUAAUUUAAAAUUUUGCUUUAGAAAAAUAUUUCCAAGAAACUUCUAUUAUAUAGAAAUUUUUUACAUGAAAAGCAUAGCUUGGUAAGCCGGAUAAUAAUCUCCUGAAUCAAAAAUGGGAUCUACAACGCAUGGAUCAGAGAUUUGCGUUUUGUCAAUGUGUCAACUUGCCUAAGCAUUUGCGGAGUAAAUUUAGUGACGUUAAAGAAAGAAAGGGAAGGAAGGAGAAACAACUACGGAUGACAACGGUUUAGGGUUUAGAGUUAAUGUGGAAGAAAUAGAGGGAAUGAAGGAGAAAUAUCGUUGCUAUGCAUGACAACGGCUCCUCAGAGUCAAGUGAAAGAAAGAGAGGGACGCAUGACAUGACAACGGCUCCUCAGAGUCACGUGAAAGAAAGAGAUGGAAGGAAGGAAAAACAUCGUUGAUACGCAUGACAACGGCUCAGAGUCGACUCUUAGCAUUCAUUAACGAAAAGUUUGUUGCAUGAGAGUGGAGAAAAAUGAAAGAAGUAUAAUAAAAAUUUAUUUAUACAUUAAUGGUUUAGAAAACUUAUUGUCUUUAUUACUUUAGUACUUCCUCCGUUUACUUUCUAACAUUGCUAAUAUUCAUAUAUAUGUUAAUGAAUCUAAACAUAUAUGUGUGCCUAGAUUCACUAACAUCUAUAUGAAUGUGAAGAAUGCUAGAAAGUCUUAUAACCUGAAACGGAGGUAGUAGGAUAUAGUCUCUAGUAAUAUUAAUUAAUAUAAAGAGCUCAUAUUAGACUCUACCUUUAUACAUGCCUUGAAAUUAACUCACAGCAUCACCACCAUGCGAACAUUAAAUCCUCCUUACUCCAUUUCGUAUUCUAUAAUACUAUCUCCUUCCCCUUAAUAACGUUGGUCCUUACUCCACUCAGUAUUCUGUAAUACUAAUCUCCUUCCCCUUAAUAACUUUGGUUAGUUUAAUUUUGAGUAAAUUUUAGGGUGUUUGGUUGUAGUCACAGUUGUGGCAAGAUUCUCUUCCAAUAAACGAGUCAUAUACGUUAUUGACUCAAAAAUGUGUUGCAAGAUUUUCUUAGGCUUGCUAAAGUGUGACCAAGAAUUUGAUCGCCUCACUUAGACAAGUGUGGCAAUACUUUUGUAUGUAGUUUUAUGAUAAAUUAACCUAUAUAUAUAUAAUUUUCUAAAAUUUAUUUAAUUUUUUUAUGGGAAAGAAAUGGAUUUAAUUUUUUUUAGAAAAAAUGCCCAAGGCCCGUUUCGAUCCAACGGGCUCGACUGGAAGGGGCCAGAGUGCCAGACGAAUGCCCGCCUACGGAGUGGUUGGAUCUGCUCUGCGCCGUCCGAUCUGUCGCAAGGCUUACUCAUCGGACGGCCGAGAUCACCCGCGCGCAACCCUAGGCGAGAUCGUAAGUAGAAUCGGCUGCGUCGAAUCCCUCCACUGUUUUUGCUGCCGCUGCUACUUCUUCCACUAGGGUUCGUCUUGCUGCUCCCUCCACUGCUCGCCUCGCCUCCGCCACCGUAAGAUCUCCCCGAUUCGCUACAACUAACUAGUGUGCUUGCGCCAUUGUUGCGUACUGUUGAUUUUGCGGAUUUUUUUUUAAAUUUUUUUGGAUUUUUGUUUCCUCAUGAUGUGCAGAUCUGAAAUCGAGUGAGUGGGAGCUAAGGCGGCGGCCCCGUCGAGAUGGCGCUCGUAAGUGAUUCUUGAUCUAACCUCGUUUGCUCGUGUUCUUUAGUUGAUUUAGUGGAGAAGCUUGGCAUGAUGCGGUGGGGUGUAGUUUUUUUUUUUUCAUUUUCAAAUUGUAGCAUCUGUGGAUUGCUGUAUGAGUCUUCUGUAAAGCAUAUCGUUUUUUUCUGCACGAUCAGGGUUGAUUUGGUGCGCAUUUCUACCCAGCAUUUAGGGAGGGUUUUGGUAGGGUGGUGACAGUUUAGGUGUCACGGAUUUUAUUUAGAUCGGUGGACAAUGUUCGGUCUAUGUCUAGCAUCUCUUAUUUACUUAAUGUUGUCUUGCAAGCUCGUUGAAAUGCAGAUUUCUGGUUUUUUUUUUUACUUUGUUACUUUCUGGUUCAAAUGCUGGCGGAUCAAGUGAAUAUUAAAUAAUUUGUGCAGUGAGGAAGCAAGGACCUGCCUUCGAAAUUUUUCUAGUCUAUAUUUCUGAUUAUUUGAUCCCAAGUGUUAAAGAUUGUUGCCAAGGUUUUCCAAUAGUUAGCCUUUCUUAUAUACAUUUGAUGAUGUAAGACCAAAUUCAAAUGCAUACAAAUGAAAGCCUGAUCACAUGACAGUUUGUUGACAAUAUAUACAUUAUCCUGUAGAGAUUCGCACAGGGCUCUGCUUUCCUAGAAUGCUUACAGCUUCCUGUUUGAUGCAAAUGGGAUUAUUUGGAGUUUCGGAAAUGAAGUCUUAUUCGCUUUCUGAAUAGCCGAUGAGCAUGUAGACAUGUCUCAUGCAGACAUUAUAGCUCAGCACUUGUGCACAUAAUUAUAUAAUAUGUAUGUAUUGACCAUCACUCUGUAGAACAUUGAAUGGCUAAAGUCACUGUGUAAUAUGUGCUGCUUGAUCUAUGAAUUUGUCCCGUUGUUUGUAUAUUUUUUGUUUAUCAUGUUUGUGUAUCCAUCCUUAUGGACAUGCUAGUCAAACUGUCCUUGUAGUGUUGUCAUGUCAUGCACUUCCCUAACCUAUUUUCACGCUCAACUUUGUAACUUGCAUUGGUGUAGGUAUUGCAUACUUUCGAUGGAAACAAGAAUGCAUUCAAGGCACUCAUUGCUGCCGAGUACUCUGGUGUCAAGGUUGAGUUGGCAAAGAACUUUCAGAUGGGUGUCUCCAACAAGACUCCUGAGUAUCUCAAGAUGAAUCCUAUUGGGAAGGUUUGAGCAAAACCACCUCUGAAUUUUGGUACAUUUGCACAGAAUCUGAUUUGGACACGUUUCCUUUCAGGUCCCUAUUCUAGAGACUCCUGAUGGUCCUGUUUUUGAAAGCAAUGCGAUUGCACGAUAUGGUAAGUGAUACAUAGCAAGGAUUCCGUUCUUUUAAUCCUUUUCUCUCUAUUGCUUGAUUUAGUUCUAAGUUCCUCUCAUUUUCCUGAAGUUACUCGCUCGAAGUCUGACAACCCACUCUAUGGGUCUUCACUGAUUGAAUAUGUGAGUGAUCUUUCAUAAAUAUUUAGGAUCAUUCUUGAUUAUUUUCCAGCUCCUAGAAUUUUGUGUUUCUUUCAGGUUGAUCUUUCAUAGACAUUUAGGAUCAUUCUUGAUUAUUUUACCAGCUCCUUGAAUUUCUUGUUUCUUUCAGGCCCACAUUGAGCAGUGGAUUGACUUUUCAGCCACAGAGGUUGAUGCUAAUACUGGAAAAUGGCUCUUCCCACGUCUUGGAUUUGCUCCUUAUGUUGCUGUCGUAAGUAUGGUCAAGUGGGUAUCGUUGUGUUCUCCUUGUUAGCAAUUUGUGAUCUAAUCUUGUUUCUGCCUAACAGAGUGAGGAAGCAGCUAUUGCUGCUUUGAAGAGAUCAUUGGGUGCCCUCAACACACACCUUGCAUCAAACACAUACCUUGUUGGCCAUUCAGUGACUCUUGCUGAUAUUGUGAUGACAUGCAACCUCUACAUGGGCUUUGCUCGGAUCAUGACCAAGAAUUUUACUUCUGAGUUCCCUCAUGUUGAGAGGUACUUCUGGACCAUGGUUAACCAGCCAAACUUUAAGAAAGUCAUGGGUGAUGUGAAGCAGGCAGAUUCUGUCCCACAAGUUCAAAAGAAGGCU
rnacentral:lncRNA from 1 species